GUUGAACGCUGGCGGCAGGCCUAACACAUGCAAGUCGAGCGGAUGAAGGGAGCUUGCUCCUGUCUUCAGCGACGGACGGGUGGGUAAUGCACAGGAAUCUGACUGGUCGUUGGGGCUAACGUAAGGACACGGACCCUAAUACAACAUCGGUCCUGAGGGAGAAAGUGAGGGAUCUUCGGUGCACACGGUAUCAGAUGAGCCUAGGUCGGAUUAGCUAGUUGGUGGGGUAAAGGCCUACCAAGGCGACGAUCCGUAACUGGCCUGAGAGGAUGAUCAGUCACACUGGAACUGAGACACGGUCCAGACUCCUACGGGAGGCAGCAGUAGGGAAUAUUGCACAAUGGGCGAAAGCCUGACGCAGCCAUGCCGCGUGAGUGAAGAAGGUCUUCGGAUCGUAAAACACUGUUAUUAGGGAGGAAGGACAGUAAGAUAAUCUCUUGCCGUCUUGACGUUACCAACACAGUAAGCACCGGCUAACUUCGUG
rnacentral:rRNA from 1 species